rnacentral:lncRNA from 1 species
UCACAUAUACACAACCUAAGCCACAAUCAUCAUACCCAUACACAACAUCUCAAUACCCAAACAUCGUAGAACAAAAAAUCACACUAGGGUUGAGAAUCUUACCACACCCAAGGUCCAAGGAGACAACAUUAACCUUCUCCUUCAAGGGAGUUGGGUCCUAUAACAUCAAAGAACCCAAAAUCUCAACAUUUUACCCAUGAAACUCGAAAAUAAGGGCUGGAAUUUCGAACAGAAGCACGUGGCUUACCUCAAGAUUAGUUGUAUGGGUUUUGUAGAGCUCUCCGCGGUGAACGCGUGGCCGCAAACGGAGCGGCAAUUCUUUAAAAUCUGCAACACGGUCCUCAAGUGUUCUGCAUGCUCUUCUUCAGUCUUGGAGUAAAUCAGUAUGUCGUCAAUGAAGACAACAACGAACUUAUCCAGAAACGGACGGAAUACUCUAUUCAUGUAAUCCAUGAAUACUGCAGGAGCGUUCGUCAACCCAAAAGACAUUACGGUGUACUCGUAAUGACCAUAACGAGUCCUAAAAGCGGUCUUAGGGAUAUCCUUACCCCUCACCCUUAUCUGGUGAUAACCGGAUCGCAAAUCGAUCUUAGAGAAAACCCCAGCUCCUUGUAAUUGGUCCAUGAGAUCAUCAAUUCUCGGCAAUGGGUAUUUAUUCUUUAUGGUGACCUUGUUCAGUUGCCUGUAAUCCACACAGAGCCGCAUACUUCCAUCUUUCUUCUUUACCAGUAACACUGGAGCACCCCACGGGGAAACACUUGGUCAGAUAAAGUUCUUACCCAACAAUUCCUCUAACUGACACUUUAGCUCGGCCAUCUCUAAUGGUGACAUCCUAUAAGGAGCACUUGAGAUUGGUCCCGCCCCAGGCACCAACUCAAUAGCAAACUCGACCUCUCGGUUAGGUGGAAAUUCCUUAAUAUCAUCGGGAAACACUUCCGGAAACUCACACACUACCGGAAUCUGAUCCAACCUUUGAUCAUCACCCGAAACACCAGCGGUUAACAACAGGAUACCCUGACAUUCGAUUCCAGAACAGUUCACCAUCAUCGAAUUCAAGUAAUAAUUAUUCACCACGACCGGCCCUUCUGUAUCUUCCAGCAUAAAGUACACCGACUUUGUAGAACAAUCGAGCAGGACAUGGUUCUCAGAUAACCAGUCCAAUCCCAAGAUAAGGUCAAGACCGAUCAUCGGUAAGCAGAUUAAAUUAUAGACAAAAUCAUGCUGCUUGAACCUAAACGAAACUUUCGGGCAUCCUAGCCUAGUUAUCAUGGCUUCAUGGGUAGCAUUAUACACUUUUAAGUCAUAACCUAAGGUUACGAUCUUCAAUCCUAACUCAUGGGCUUUCUCAAAUGCAAUAAAUGAAUGCGAUGCUCCCGAAUCAAGUAAAGCAUUUAAAGUUUGACCAGCCAUUUCACAGUUACCUCGAAUGAGUGUCUCGGAUCCCUCUGCACCCACAGCUGAGGUGGUGAACACCCGACCAGUCUGUUGUGCUUUCCCAGCACAUUGCUUUUGCUUCUCCGGACAACUUGUGGCUUUAUGCCCCGCCUUUCCACAAUUGUAGCACAAACCCCAUCCAGCCUUGCAUGGUACUCCCGGAUGGUGACUUCCACACCUAGUACAAGCUUGAUCAUUUUGAGGCUUCUUCCCAAACCUUUUUCCUUGGGAGUUGUUGUUGUUGGGCCUCCUAAAAGAACCUCCCCUUUUGAAAGGCAGACCUCUAGGUGCAAAACUCUUCCCUCGGUUCUAUGAAAAUGAUCCUUUGUGACUUCCUUUCUCAGCGGUUGCCCUCUUCACACACUCUUCAGCAACCCUACACUUGUUCACCAAUUCGGAGAAAGUCCUAAUUUCCAUUGGUCCCACUGAACUGAAAAUAUCGCUCCGGAGUCCUCCUUCAUACUUAACACACUUCCAUUCCUCAUAUUCCACUGGAGUCCCUUGACACAUAUGAGAGAAUCUGAACAGCUCCUCAAACUUGUCAGUAUACUCAGACACAGACAUAGUACCCUGCUUCAGCUGCAACACUUCAAGCUCCUUGGCCGUCCUAGCAGAAGUCGGAAAGUACUUCUUAUAGAACUCCUCUCGGAAGACAUCCCAGGUGAUAUAGUCAUCACCCUGCUGCAGGAGGCGUCGGAUACCCUGCCACCAAUGCGACGCUUCACCAGUGAGCAAACAGGUAGCAAACUCAACACGCUGUCCUUCAGGCACCACCUGCGCUUGUAGUGCUCGCUCCAUAGCCUGAAACCAUCUAUCGGCUUCAGUCGGGCUAGUAGUUCCCUUGAACUUAGGUGGAUUAACCUUCAAAAAGUUUGCCAGUGUCAUCAGGCCCUGUACUCCACCUCCGUCAUUACCAUGGUUGUUCAUCUGUUGACUAAGAGCCUCAGCAGUGGCUUGCAUAGCAGCAGCCAUGUUCUCCAACGCAGUCAUAAAGUUCACCGGGUUAUUAGGGUUAGUCUCCGGCGCACGAGCAUUCGUAUGUCCUCUCCCACGGCCUCUACCGCGUCCACGAGGCGCCAUCUGGUUCCUAUACACACCAAACAAUCGAUAUUAAGUUGAUCAGUCUCAAUAUCGGAAGUUUAGUGCUUCAAAGUCCCAAAUGCAUGCUCAUGAACGUUUAUGCCAAUUAUAUCAAGCAGAUAUACUAAUAGCAUAUAACACACAUACAGAGAAUGCACAGAAGCAUAGUCAGUCCAUUCCUCAGGCUCUACCGGAACGAACUGCUCUGAUACCAUAAUGUAACACCCUACCAUACAGAGACUUAUGCUUAAGUCAUAAUUCAGAGAUGGCAAGGUAUUACGACCUCUAAAACAAAAAUCUAGUACGAAUAGUAGUAUGAAUGAUUGAUUAUAACUAGGAGCCUUUGAAGAAAAAGGGGGUAAACAAAAACCGUAACUCGAAAGCGCAACACUCCGAUCACUAACACAACGAGCAAAGGAUAAGCUAACGCAAGAUCAUAUAUAUAAAGAGUGUCAAAAACNNNNNNNNNNNNNNNNNNNNNNNNNNNNNNNNNNNNNNNNNNNNNNNNNNNNNNNNNNNNNNNNNNNNNNNNNNNNNNNNNNNNNNNNNNNNNNNNNNNNNNNNNNNNNNNNNNNNNNNUCACCAAUCAAGCUCCAAUAUUCACAUAUACACAACCUAAGCCACAACCAUCAUACCCAUACACAACAUCUCAAAACCCAAACAUCAUAGAACAACAAAAUCACACUAGGGUUGAGAAUCUUACCACACCCAAGGUCCAAGGAGACAACAUUAACCUUCUCCUUCAAGAGAGUUGGGUCCUAUAACAUCAAAGAACCCAAAAUCUCAACAUUUUACCCAUGAAACUCGAAAAUAAGGGCUGGAAUUUCGAACAGAAGCACG